AAAAAAUGUCUUGCAUCUGUUAAUGGUAUCAUCAUUCUGUAAAAAGUUAAUCAAAAUCUAUGUUUUUUAAUUGAGUAAUUUUCGUAGACCGCGGGGCCUCUCAAAACACAAGGCCGGGUUCCAGCGAAUGCACUGAACCUGCCUUGCACCAGCCCUGACUGACCAAGUUACUAUAGUAAAAAAGGCAGCAAUCUUCUAUGAGGAAUUAUACAGACCAAGAGAACAGAUGACGCAAGCGAAACCAAGACCAGCAAAUAUAGAAGAUAUUCUAAUAAUAUUACCACAAGAAGUUAGGAAAACAGUUAAGAAG
rnacentral:lncRNA from 1 species